rnacentral:rRNA from 1 species
GAUGAACGCUGGCGGCGUGCCUAAUACAUGCAAGUCGAGCGAACGGACGAGAAGCUUGCUUCUCUGAUGUUAGCGGCGGACGGGUGAGUAACACGUGGAUAACCUACCUAUAAGACUGGGAUAACUUCGGGAAACCGUAGCUAAUACCGGAUAAUAUUUUGAACCGCAUGGUUCAAAAGUGAAAGACGGUCUUGCUGUCACUUAUAGAUGGAUCCGCGCUGCAUUAGCUAGUUGGUAAGGUAACGGCUUACCAAGGCAACGAUGCAUAGCCGACCUGAGAGGGUGAUCGGCCACACUGGAACUGAGACACGGUCCAGACUCCUACGGGAGGCAGCAGUAGGGAAUCUUCCGCAAUGGGCGAAAGCCUGACGGAGCAACGCCGCGUGAGUGAUGAAGGUCUUCGGAUCGUAAAACUCUGUUAUUAGGGAAGAACAUAUGUGUAAGUAUCUGUGCACAUCUUGACGGUACCUAAUCAGAAAGCAACGGCUAACUACGUG